rnacentral:rRNA from 1 species
AUUGAACGCUGGCGGCAGGCUUAACACAUGCAAGUCGAGCGGAGAGAGGUAGCUUGCUACUGAUCUUAGCGGCGGACGGGUGAGUAAUGCUUAGGAAUCUGCCUAUUAGUGGGGGACAACAUUUCGAAAGGAAUGCUAAUACCGCAUACGUCCUACGGGAGAAAGCAGGGGAUCUUCGGACCUUGCGCUAAUAGAUGAGCCUAAGUCGGAUUAGCUAGUUGGUGGGGUAAAGGCCUACCAAGGCGACGAUCUGUAGCGGGUCUGAGAGGAUGAUCCGCCACACUGGGACUGAGACACGGCCCAGACUCCUACGGGAGGCAGCAGUGGGGAAUAGUGGACAAUGGGCGGAAGCCGAGCCAGCCAUGCCGCGUGUGUGAAGAAGGCCUUUUGGUUGUAAAGCACUUUAAGCGAGGAGGAGGCUACUGAGAUUAAUACUCUUGGAUAGUGGACGUUACUCGCAGAAUAAGCACCGGCUAACUCUGUGCCAGCAGCCGCCGUAA